rnacentral:rRNA from 1 species
AGAUCGAACUAUAGAGUUUGAUCCUGGCUCAGAUUGAACGCUGGCGGAAUGCUUUACACAUGCAAGUCGAACGGCAGCACGGACUUCGGUCUGGUGGCGAGUGGCGAACGGGUGAGUAAUAUAUCGGAACGUGCCCAGUCGUGGGGGAUAACGUAGCGAAAGUUA